rnacentral:rRNA from 1 species
UUCUACGGCUAUACCACCCUGAACAUGCCCAAUCUUGUCUGAUCUUGGAAGCUAAGCAGGGUCAGGCCUGGUCAGUGUUCGGAUGGGAGACCUGUGUUUUAAAGCAGUCUUCUGCACUGC